rnacentral:rRNA from 1 species
CCCUUCAGGCCUAACACAUGCAAGUCGAGCGCGAAAGGGGGCAACCCCGAGUAGAGCGGCGGACGGGUGAGCAAUACAUCGGAACGUACCCAGUAGUGGGGGACAACCUCGAGAAAUCGAGGCUAAUACCGCAUACGACCCACGGGUGAAAGCGGGGGACCGCAAGGCCUCGCGCUAUUGGAGCGGCCGAUGUCCGAUUAGCUAGUUGGCGGGGUAAGAGCCCACCAAGGCGACGAUCGGUAGCUGGUCUGAGAGGACGACCAGCCACACUGGGACUGAGACACGGCCCAGACUCCUACGGGAGGCAGCAGUGGGGAAUUUUGGACAAUGGGGGCAACCCUGAUCCAGCCAUGCCGCGUGCGGGAAGAAGGCCUUCGGGUUGUAAACCGCUUUCGGCCGGAACGAAAUCGCCCGGGUGAACAUCCCGGGUGGAUGACGGUACCGGAAGAAGAAGCACCGGCUAACUACGUGCCAGCAGCCGCGGUAAUACGUAGGGUGCGAGCGUUAAUCGGAAUUACUGGGCGUAAAGCGUGCGCAGGCGGUCUCGUAAGACAGGUGUGAAAUCCCCGGGCUUAACCUGGGAACUGCGCUUGUGACUGCGAGGCUGGAGUGCGGAAGAGGGAGGUGGAAUUCCACGUGUAGCAGUGAAAUGCGUAGAGAUGUGGAGGAACACCGAUGGCGAAGGCAGCCUCCUGGUCCAGCACUGACGCUCAUGCACGAAAGC